CUGUUGCUGUCACCACAGAUAAUCCUCCUGGGAUACAAGGUCUUAAUGUAUGCCUUCACCAAGACUACCUUCCAGACUUAAUAACCCCAUAAAUCCCUGGGAGAUGUUCAUUCUAAUUGACUACUUAGGAACAGCAUUUAUUGAUGACGAGCUAAAUUUUCAGAAAUCAAUUGCUAAUUAGUGACACAGCCAAGAUAAUGAUAUAAACAAUGUCUAGGU
rnacentral:lncRNA from 1 species